rnacentral:misc_RNA from 1 species
CGGGGUGCUGGUGUUGCAAUUCCCAUGUUUUCUGUUAGAUCAGAGAAUGAUCUUGGAGUUGGUGAGUUUCUUGACCUGAAACUUCUUGUUGAUUGGGCUGUGGAGUCUGGGUUUCAUUUGGUUCAACUUCUGCCAAUCAACGACACAUCUGUGCAUGGGAUGUGGUGGGAUUCAUAUCCUUACAGCUCGCUAUCGGUUUUUGCAUUGCACAGUACAGGCACUUUCAAAAAAUCUGAAAGAGGAUGUCAAGAAAGAGAUUCAGGAUGCUAAAGAAAAAUUGGAUGGAAAGGAUGUUGAUUAUGAGGCG